UUAUGAUUUAUGUGUUUGCUUGUGCUUUCCUUUACUGACAUUUUGAAAUCACAAAGGACUUGCAAUUCAAAAUGGCUGUCAGAAUAAACGCAUGCUGAACAUUCAGUAUUCCCCAUAAUAACAGCACAAGUAGAUACAAACAAAAUAAACCAUCCAUCCCUAUGCUGGAAAAUAAGACAAGGCUUCCUUAGUGGUUAAGAAAAUGUAAGGAUUCCUGAAAGGGGGAAGGCACAUGGGAUCGGAUUGGAGAAGGAAACUUAGGCUUAGCAGGGAGCAGCUGUUGAGAAAGCUGGGAAUGGCUCUAGAGAUGCUGCAAGCCUGGGUGCAGAUAUCAGAGGAGCAGUGAGGGGACUAGUCCAGGGCAAUCAUCAGGGAGCCCGCACCACAGAAGAGCAGGAUACGUUGUCUGUCUCCUGUGUUUCACCAUAUUCACCACCCAGUUGGUAACUCUAGGAGAAAUGAGAAGACCCUGUACCCAAAAAAGUUGUACUGGAAGUACAUCCCACAUGUAUAGGGUCCAAAUAACACUUCAGACAUGCACAGAUUUAGAAAGUUAACCAUCUACAAGUCCUCCCUGAAUGGAUUAUGAAAGGGUGAACUUCAGUAAAGCAAAAAUAAUAUUUGGAACAUAUUAUGAUACUUGUUUCAAAAUGAAACAUAUUGGCUGGGCGGGGUGGCUCACGCCUGUAACCCCAGCACUUUGGGAGGCAGAGGCGGGCCUCAGGAACACCUGAGGUCAGGAGUUCCAGACCAGCCUGGCCAACAUGGUGAAACCUCAUCUCUACUAAAAAUACAAAAAUUAGCCAGGCUUGGUGGCAUGUGCCUGUAAUCCCAGCCACUCGGGAGGCUGAAGCAGGAGAACCUCUUGAACCCGGGAGAUGGAGGCUGCAGAGAGCCGAGAUCACCCACUGCACUCCAGCCUGUGCGACAGAGUGAGACUCCAUCUCACAAAAAAAAAGACAUUAUUCUCAUGAAAACAGUCAUGACAGUCAUGAACAAGUAGUCCUAUUUGUACAAAAUGAAAUACAAAUGACUAAUAAAUAGGUAAAAAGAUAUUCAACUUCACCAAUAACAAAGGAAUGUAAGUUAGAAAAAAAGAAAUGUAAUUUUCACUCAUCAGAGUAACAAACUUUUAUCAUAUCAAAUAUUGAUGAUGUUGUAAAGAAAUGAAUACUCUUUUUUACAGCUUAGUAGUAUUCCAUGGUAUACGUAUAUUCUGUAUUUUCUUUAUCCACUCAUUGGUUGAUGGGCACUUAGGUUGAUUCCAUAUCUUUGCAAUUGUGAAUUGUGCUGUGAUAAAUAUACACUGUUUUUGUAAGUAUAAAUUUUUGCAGCUAUUUACAGUACAAUUUUGGCAGUGUCUAUUAGAGUGAAAAAUAAUGUCUCCUCUGACUCAGCAAUUCAUUUCUGUUUCUACCUUAAGGAUGCACUUGCAUGUGCCCUGUAUGAAAGUACAAGCAUGUUAACUGCAGCAGUGUUAGUUACAGGCAAAAUUGGAAAUGAACAUCAAAACUGGGAUAAGAGCACCAUGGUAAAUCUGGACUAUGUAGUACUUGCAAAAGAUGCAGAUAAGCCUACGUGUACCAAUGUGGAAAGGUCUGUGAAACAUAUUGUUCACUGCAAAAAAUAACAAUUCCAAAAAAAGAAGUAUAGAUAAAAAAAUUUGGGUAUAAAAUCAACCCACAUACAAAAUAUAGAUCUUUGUAUAGUUGCAUACCUCUCUACAUGUUUGUAUAUGUUUUACAUACGUAUCUAUCUCUAUCUAUCAUCUAUCUCUCUCUCUCUCUAUCUAUCUAUCUCUCUAUCAUCUAUCUAUCUAUCUAUCUAUCAAGAGAUUGAUUUCAAUUCAAAGUAAAGUAACAGUAUAUUUGGAUGCAGAGCAAACAUAAGAGUGGCCUCCUCUACAAAAGGGACUCAAGAUAGAAAUCUGAAAAGCACAGAAAACUACAAAGGUAAAAAUAAACAACUAUAUUCCUAUGGUACCUUCUUUUAGCAUUUUUCUCUAUAUCCUUCCAGCCAUUUUUCUAUAUAGGUAUAGGGCAAGUUGGAAGUCUUGAUCUGCAGCAAAGGACCUUAUUUUAGAGGCAAAAAAUAUAUUAGUGUUAGUGAAUAGAUGUAGAAGAAAUUGAAAUCUGUGAACUCUGAGAAUUCAGGGGACGAUGUACCGAUCACUGACACCUUGGGGAGAAACAGACAAUGGGGAGAUAAACUGUGAAAUGUGCCCAUUGCUGGAACUUGAAGAGUGGAUGAGGAGUUUGAUGGAAUGGUAUGGAGGGGCCAAAUGCCACUGAAUCACUCAGGCACCCUCCUCCCCCAGUCACCUUAAUCAUGCCCUGUUUAUACAAACAAUAGCACAAUGAGAAAAAUGUAGAUACAACUGGAGGAACCCACCCAGGAAAAGUGUUUGGUAGAGUUUUGCAGAAGAUAGGAUAAGAUCUAGAGGAGAAGAAUUGGAAUUAUAAAUACAGUGGUUAAUUCUAGGCUCUACAUGUGUGGGAAUUUGGGCCAAUUUUGCUUUUAUAUUUCCCAGGGGAAAAAUGUCUGUUUCAACUAUAUUUUCAAAUUUAUUAUUAUAAAGUUUUUCAUAGUGUUAAUAUCUUCUUGAAAUUUUCAAACAUCAUACUUAUCCACGUGUCAGGAUUUUUUGGUUUUUAAUGUUAUUUGUUUCUUAUCCUUCUUGAUCCUAUUUGCCUAGGGUUUAUCUGUUUUAUGAGUCAUUUCAAAGAACAAGUUUUGGUUUUGCUGAUUAACUCAUUUCUGGGGAGGGAAAAUGUUUUUCAUUAAUUACAGUUUCUAGCUUAUAUUUUGUUCUUUCGAAUUUCGUUGGGUUUAUUUUCUUCCAUUUCCCUGUCCACUAAUGGGAUUUUGGAUUUCCUCUUCUCUGCAUUGCCUGUACAUUGCCUGGAGGCAGCAACGCAUAUGGCUAAUAAAACAUAUUGAGGAUGAAUGAGAAAACAACCUGGUUCCUGGAAGGAGAGAAACAAGGUGGAGUCUUCUCACAGAAACAAGGAGAAGGUCAGAGAGACCUCCGGGAGCAUCUCAUCUUGGAGGUAGCUGUUUGCAUGAGGGCAGUGCUUGUCCUGAGAUGCUAGUUUCGCAGAGUGGUGUUCACAAGGGAAAUAAGCUAGGUCAUUACCGUCUACCCUUACACCAGGAAGAGGAAAACAUUUCAGGCUUAUAUACCAAGGCUUUCCUGCCCCUAAGCUGUCCAGAGUUGCCUUAGUAUUGAUUAUCUUAACUUAAUUAUUAUAAAGUUUGCUGGUAAUGCUUUUGUAUUAAGAGUAAAAGAUAACCUUGAGAGCUGCAAACAUGAGCCCAGCGAUCCAGGAGAUCAAGUUAAUAAUUCUGGAUAUCAAGAGAUCCACGAUUAGUCAAUUCCAACCUGUUUUCCUUUGAUGCCUUAAUCAAGGUUUAGUUAUAGUUAACCUACUUUCAAAAUGCUUACUUCCACCCUCCCUCCAAGAAUCACCCUGAGCAUUUCCUCCACUCUCUAAGUUUAGGAAUUUAGGACUUUCCCCCAAGAAAGGCACUGUAGAGAACAAACAUAUGACAUCUCAAAGACACUUCGCCAUUUCAAAUAGGAAAGAAAAAUUUGCAUCCAAACAGGCCAAAUAUUGCACUCACUGUUAAUGUAAUCAUUUUUCUGACUUUGAAUUCCUUUUCCCAAGUGACUAAACAACGUCUUUAUUCUAACCUUUCGGCACUAGGCAGUUUUUCUCCUGCUUUAGUUUCCUCUACAACCUCCGGAAGAGUUUUCCUCAGCCCUGUUACCUGUUUCGUCCAUCAUUCUGUUGCUCACUGGAUUGGUUUUUACAUUAGUGUGUUUUGACAGCACACAAUGGUUUCCUCAGUUACACAACAGACUCAGUGCCAAUAAACUUUUUUUUAGGUAAUGUAAAGCAUAUUUGAGCACAAGAAUGAUUGCAUUUUCAUGGCUAAAAAUAAACAGUUGUUUUUAAUUUUCCAUGAGAAUGCUGGCUCUUAGCACAAGGGGCCACCUUCUACCUGGUGAACUCUUUAUGCCAAAGUCAUCACUACGUGGCUAGAAAUGUGAAAUUCAAGUUUUCCUUAUGUAACAUAAAGGGAAAAGCCCAUAGGCAAAUCUCUCUUUAAUUCCAUCGUAUCACUGCUCAUGCACAGUGCUUUUAAAACAGACUAUAACAAACAUACCCUAACAGAGAAACAAGUCCUACCCUAGCUAAUUUACAUAAAAAGACUAUCUUUAUUUUUAUAGUAACAAAAAAAGCUAGGAUUAUCUCAUUUAAUCCUUAUACCAUCAUUAUGAAGUGGGUAAUGUUAUACUUACAAAAGGAAGUUAAUCAUUUCUUAUUUUCCACAGACACCACAAGCUCAAGAGGCUGCAUUAGCGUUUUUUAUUGGAGGCAUUUUCUUUUCCUCCAGAUUUUGUUUUUGACUGUUAAGGUCAUAGCUACAAACAAUUGAUCAAGCCUAAAAGGGCAUUUAUAAACCACCUGCAUCUACAUUUUUUUCUUACUGUGGAUGGAUUUAAAAAGCCGUUUCAAGAUGAAAUCUUAUGAGUCAUUAUCAUGUCUUCUGAGGGCUGAGAUAUAACUUUGAAGUAGAGCCCAAACAUGAAGAUCAUGAAGAUGGCUUCUUCUCCAAAUGAUGUUAUCUUAAAAACUUGAAAAAGACAAAAAAAAAAAAAAAAAAAAAGAAGAAGAAAAAGAAAAAAGAAAGAAAAAAAGAGAGAGCGAGCCAAGGGAACUUGAAUCAGACAAACCUGGUUCAAAGUGAUUAUUCAACAAAUGUAAGCUGUUAUCAUCUUGUCCUCCAUCAUUCAAAUAUGUCCUGUAUAGAUCUUCCAUUAAUUUCAAAUAUCUAAUGAUCUACACCAUCAAAUAUUAUGAAGGUGAUGUUUAGCAGGUCAUUGGCUAAGACAGGCUCUACCUCAGUCUCUAAUAGAGAAGGAAAGACAAGUAGCAUUUACUAACACCCACAGUAUGCUUCAUAUUGUUGCCAGAAAUUUCAAAUGCACCAUCUAUUGAUGCAUGGAAUCCUUUCAACAUUCUUAGAAGGUGAGUGUUAUCUUAACUUUUCAUUUUAGGAAAAUGAAGCUGAGAGUGGUUAAGUAUCUUGCUUAAGGUAAUAUUCAUACCAUGGGGAGGAUCAUUAUAGUUGACCAGUUAAAUACGUGAAUUGAAGGUAAUAUCACAGAUCCCUGCUACUCAAAAUGUGGUCCACUGACCAGCAUCGCUGGCAUUACCUGGGAGCUUGUUAGAAAUGCAGCGCCUCAGGCGUCACCCUGUCCCUACGGAAGCAGAAGCUGCAUUUUUCACGUGGAUCUCCUGGCGAUUUCUGCGAACAUUUACUGCUGUUAUAGAAGAGACCCAAGCACCCAUAUCCACUACCUCUGUCAUUUUACCAGUGAGGAAAUACAUUAAAAAGCAUAAUCACUUUAUGAGCAAAUAAAUGUUAACUUUUUCAAGUAUAAAAUAUCAAAACUCAUCAUUUCAAGGCCGCAAGCCAGUUUUUUUUUUUUCAAAAUUUGGUAGAGUUUCCAAAAUAAGCAGAGCCAAUAAGAACUAGCAAGUAACAAGAUGAAAAUAUAAAGGUCAUGAGGCCAAAGAAGGAGCCUUUAUUCAGAGGUAUCAGUGGCUUUUAAAUGCAAACUAAAAUUGGGAGUUAAAAGGGCUCUUACUGACUUACCCAAAUGAGAUACAUUAAUAGUUAACACUGAUUGAACAUUUAAUAUGAUAUGUAUUACCUCAUUUAAUCCCCACAAUGACCCUGUGAAUGAGUACUGGUAUUGUUAUUAUUAUCUGUUUUAGCAGUUAGGAUAUCAACUAUCCUAUGAAAGGAUUAUCAAAGAACUAUCAAAAUCACAGAGCUGGGAAGUUACCGAAUUGGGGCUGGAAUCCCAGGCUUCCUAUCCCAGGGCUGAGCUCAUCCCCAUAGUGUUAUUCUGUCUCAUAACAUAGGAGACAUAUUUAGGGAAAGCAGCCACCCAAAAGUAAGAUAGAACACAAGGGACCUGUAAGCAACUCCUUCACUGAAAUGAGCCUGGGAGUGUGAAGAGCAGAGGAUGGAGAGCCUUGCUUCUGAAGGCCUUGGUCACACCCUCACACUGUUCAAAGUGGAAGAGAUUCAUUAACUUUUAUCAUUAUAUAAGAUACUACUUAUUUCUUUAAAUCUCACCUCAACCCCCAAAACUGAAAGUUAGCAGGAGAACACUUUUGGCCAAUAAGAAAACAGAAAAUAAAAUUAAAAUGGUAGAUUCAGUUUCCUGCAAUACCUCAGUUUCAUGCAAAGACAGUGGCUCUGUGAAACUCAUAAUAAAACUUUUAAACAUCCCAGAAAUAUCUUUAAAAACAUAAAUUUUACUGUUUAUCUUUCCUUUUAUAAAAUGGUACAUGUUCAUUAUGGAAAUUUUUAAAAAAGACAAAAUUAUGCCAAAAAAAAUGAGAAAUCCUUUAUAUUCAUGCAACCGACAGAAACCAAUUAGUAUGUUGUUAUACUGCCUUUCAAAUUUAUUUCUAUAGAGUUUUAUUUUUGCAUAUUUUGGUUUGUAGUCAUAUUACACAUAAAAUUUUGUACCCAAUUUUUCCCAUUAACUUUAUGUGUUUGGCAUUUACCUCUUAUUAUAAACCCUGCAUGACAGCUCAUUUAAAAGUGAGUUAGUAAUCGCUUGAGCAGACAUAUGGCAACUUAAGCAAUUUUUAUCCCAUUGAUGAGAUUUGUAGGUUGUUUCUAAUUUUUCCCCUUUGUAAAGAGUUCAGUGAACUUUUUGGCUCAAAUAUUUUUGAUUAUAUAUCAGCUUGUUUGGAUAGAUGUUAUUUCAAAUGAUACAAUUAUUUGAUGCAUUUGCCAAAUAUCUUUCUAAAAUAAUAAUUUGGAAGCUCAGAGCACUAUGCUCUCCCAAUAAUUCUAUAAUAAAUUUAUCAAAGCCACAAUUUUCAUCAAGAUAGCUCUGCAUGUAGAUUGACUAAUUACUGUUGUUUCCUUAUCAGUGGUUCUACAGUUCAGCUCUUUAUGAAGAUGUGACGGUUAAUGAGAAACUGAUUAAGUUUGUAUCUGUGGAUUAGAUAGCAGCAAGACUCUAGAUAUUUGGUCCUGAAUAAAAUAAGGAUGCGUUUCGUUUGCAUUUGCUGAUAUUUGUUUAGCUUGCCUUGUAUGUUAAGAUUUUCCUAAUUCAUUAGUAAGAAAGAUUUCACACAUACACACACUCUUCAUUAUAGAAAUUUGCAAUAAAAAUCCCAAGGAGUCCCUCCAUUUCAUUUAUUGCUAUUUUAUCUUAAUUUUAUUAUAGUUUCCAGAAAAAAAAAUUUAAUUUCAUAAAAUAGAGGUUAAAUGAGAAACAUUCUUUCAAAAGCCAGUUACUGGCAGCCCCCUAAUUUUUGCCACUACUUCUUUAGCCUUUGCAACUCUUUAAAAAAAUACAAGGAAUGCAAGUUUAUUGUAAAAUAACAAAAAUAUUAAUAAAUGAGUAGAAGCAAUCCAUGAUAUUAUAAUUCAGAAAUAAAUAGCUAAAAUUGUACUGUAUAAAUUCCAGGUAUUUUUAUGAGUACCUAAUUAUAUGUUUGAUUUUUAAGUAUAACCAUUCUCUAUAUAUUUUUUGACAGCUUUCUUCACUUAAGAGUAUGUAGUCAGGAAAAUAUAUCAAUGCACAUAAGUAUGUUUUGUAAUAUAAUGAGUACAUAAUACAAUAUAUAGACAUCCCACUAUUCAUUUUAUCCAUUGUCUAUUGUUGGACAGAAAUUAUGCAUUUUUUAUUUACUUGUAACUUUGCAUUAAGUGGCUUUAUUCCUAAAUUUUUGCUACAUGCUGAAUUAUUUUCUCAGACAAAAUUCCUUGAAAUAUAAAUACUGUGUCAAAGAGGAACCAUAUUUAAAAAAAUCAACAAUAAUAUUUAAAUAUCCAAUAUCUUUUAACUGUAGAAAAUUAGCAAAUAGAAAUAACCAAAUGAAAAAAUAUUGAAAACAAUAAUAAUAAUUCUACCACGUGCACAUAACCAUGUCUGGGUUAGUGCUUUUUUCCCUGUAUCUUUUCUAUUUAGCUUUACGUAAAUAUGUUUAAUAUAAUUUUUCUUAUAUAUUAAUCUCUCUAUACAUUUCAUAUAUAUAUAUAUGUAUGUAUAUCUACCCACAAAAAAGGCAUUUUUAACAGGCUUACCACAUACUGGAUAAUUGUAAAUACUUAUUGAAUUAAUGAAUAAAUGAAUAAAAAUAGGAUAAUUUUGUAGAUGCUAGAUUAUAACCUAAUAUUUUUACUUAAAAUAUCUUUGGCAUCUAUUCAUGUUAAUAGUUGUCACCCACAACAUUUCAAUAAUGAUUUAAUGGAAUUUAUAAUGUACAAAUAAGCCAUCUCGGAAAUAACAGAACAAUUAAGACAAAGCAUACCAACGCCAAAUUUAUUGGAAAAUUUAGAGCACUAACUGUAUUUAUUGUAAAAUAAAAAGGAAUUAAAAUAAUUGAAAUCAGUACUCCACACAAGAAGUCAGAGAAUGCAUAAUUAAAUCAAUACUUGAAGAAAGGAGCAAGGAAUUAAUAGCAACAUAGACUUUAAUAAACUGGAAAACCAACUAAUUUAGAGUGUACACACACAAGAGCUAGAUCUUUGAAAAACAAAACAAAAGAAUCAACUCCCCCCAAAAAAUAGAAUAAUCAGAAGAACACGACCAUUCUGAGUUCUGAGUUCUAACAUAAAAACCUUAAUUAAAUACAAAUACACCUUAAGAAGGUGGCUAUAACCCAAGAUGCAAAUGGGAUUACAAAAUCAUAAGAGACUACCAUAUGGAAAUCUAUGCUAAUAGACUUGAUGAUUUUGGUGAAGCAUAUGACUUUCAAGGGAGUUAUGAGUUAAAAUUUAUUUAUGAGCAAGAAAAAAAACUGAAUAGACCAAUGACUUUGAAAAUUUUAAAAACCCAUCCAUAAAAACCCUAGAAGAAAACCUAGGCAUUACCAUUCAGGACAUAGGCAUGGGCAAGGACUUCAUGUCCAAAACACCAAAAGCAAUGGCAACAAAAGACAAAAUUGACAAAUGGGAUCUAAUUAAACUAAAGAGCUUCUGCACAGCAAAAGAAACUACCAUCAGAGUGAACAGGCAACCUACAGAAUGGGAGAAAAUUUUCGCAACCUACUCAUCUGACAAAGGGCUAAUAUCCAGAAUCUACAAUGAACUCAAACAAAUUUACAAGAAAAAAACAAACAACCCCAUCAAAAAGUGGGCGAAGGACAUGAACAGACACUUCUCAAAAGAAGACAUUUAUGCAGCCAAAAAACACAUGAAAAAAUGCUCAUCAUCACUGGCCAUCAGAGAAAUGCAAAUCAAAACCACAAUGAGAUACCAUCUCACACCAGUUAGAAUGGCAAUCAUUAAAAAGUCAGGAAACAACAGGUGCUGGAGAGGAAGUGGAGAAAUAGGAACACUUUUACACUGUUGGUGGGACUGUAAACUAGUUCAACCAUUGUGGAAGUCAGUGUGGCGAUUCCUCAGGGAUCUAGAACUAGAAAUACCAUUUGACCCAGCCAUCCCAUUACUGGGUAUAUACCCAAAGGACUAUAAAUCAUGCUGCUAUAAAGACACAUGCACACGUAUGUUUAUUGAGGCAUUAUUCACAAUAGCAAAGACUUGGAACCAACCCAAAUGUCCAACAAUGACAGACUGGAUUAAGAAAAUGUGGCACAUAUACACCAUGGAAUACUAUGCAGCCAUAAAAAAUGAUGCGUUCAUGUCCUCUGUAGGGACAUGAAUGAAAUUGGAAAUCAUCAUUCUCAGUAAACUAUCGCAAGAACAAAAAACCAAACACCGCAUAUUCUCACUCAUAGGUGGGAAUUGAACAAUGAGAUCACAUGGACACAGGAAGGGGAAUAUCACACUCUGGGGACUGUGGUGGGGUGGGGGGAGGGGGGAGGGAUAGCAUUGGGAGAUAUACCUAAUGCUAGAUGACGAGUUAGUGGGUGCAGCGCACCAGCAUGGCACAUGUAUACAUAUGUAACUAACCCGCACAAUGUGCACAUGUACCCUAAAACUUAAAGUAUAUAAAAAAAAAAAAGACUGACAAAAUUAGGUGAAAUAAAGCAUAUAAGGUGUUUAGCACACAAAAAAAAUAAAAAUAAAAACCCAUCAUAUAACUAACUCUUAGGAAAAAAAACAGCCAGACAGUCUCAUAGGUGCAAUGUUUCAACUCUUCAAAGAAUGAAUGAUUUUUCUAAUAUCUAAACUCUUGCAGAGAAUAGGAAAGUAAGCGUCAUCAUUUUGUGCAGCUAGCACUAGUGUCAUAGAGAAAUCUGACAAAGAUAACCCAAAGGUAAGAACCACAGACCCGUUUAAUUUAUGAAAGUAAAUACACAAACUAUAGAUAAAAUUACUUGCAUUGAAACACUAAAUUAGAAUAAUACAUGAUAACCAAUUAUAUUUUAUUACAUGAUUUUAAAGAGGAUUCUACAUUGUGAAAUAUAUUAAACACUGGCUAUGCAUUAUCGUCAUUAUUAUUUUGCAAUAGUCUGGAAAUAACAAUAGUGCUAUGAUACUGAGAGAUCCUAGAUUUAACUGGAAACUUUUUCUUAAUUCUCUUGUCACAGAAUCUUGAGAUCUCACAUGGAGAAGUCAAGAUUAUUUGAAUGAGUUCUCUGGGUUCAAAAAUGUCUCAACUAGGGGUAAAGUUAUCAGUAGCACAUGUAUUAUAAGCUAACUUGAUAAUUCUUACGUUGUUUAUCAUGUAAUCUGUGUUUUGAUAGUGAUGAAGAAUAUUCAUUGCACUUCAUUAAGAGAGAAUAUUUUUGUUUCUCUUCAAUAAUUGUUCAAAAAAAUUUGAGGCAAGUUUUGCUUCUUAUAAUGGUGAGAAAACUUUUUUAGACUAACUAUACCCCUCCUCACUGAGAGGUGAAGCCAGACUUCUGGGCCGGGUGGGGACUUAGAGAACUUUUCUGUCUUACAAGAGGAUUGUAAAAUGCACCAAUCAGCACUCUGUAGCUAGGAUUGUAAAAUGCAUCAAUCAGUGCUCUGUGGCUAACUAGAGGUUUGUAAAGUACGCCAGUCAGUGCUCUGUAAAAACGCACCAAUCAGUGCUCUAUGGCUAGCUAGAGGUUUGUAAAAUGGACCAAUCAGCACUCUGUAAAAUGGACCAAUCAGCGCUCUGUAAAAUGGACCAAUCAGUGCUCUGUAAAAUGGACCAAUCAGCAGGACAUGGUGGAGACAAAUAAGAGAAUAAAAGCUGGCAUCCCAGCGAGCAGCAACAACCCCCUUGGGUCUCCUUCCACGCUGUGGAAGCUUUGUUCUUUCACUCUUGACAAUAAAUCUUGCUGCUCCUCACUCUGGGUCCAUGCCACCUUUAAGAGCUGUAACAUUUCACUGCGAAGGUCCGCAGCUUCAUUCUCGAAGUCAGCAAGACCAAGAACCCACCGGAAGGAACCGACUCUGGACACACUGCCACAGAUAACAAUUACAAGCUCUGGACAUAAUAUUUCUUAAAAACCAAUUAUUUGAAGAUAUUGGAGCGUGACAAAAUGUGGAAAGAAACAAGAAGAUUGAACUCUUGAAAUAAGUGAACCACACUCCCUCGAUGAGACCAUUUUUAGAUUACUUUUCCCCUGAGGUACUUUCCAGUUCAUGUGACAUCUCAAACAGUAUUAUUAGCAUGUGGUGUCAAGAGAUGAAGUUGGUGCUGCCAGAGUGGCUGAAAUAUAAAGAGGGGAAUCCUAGAAUGAAGACAGCCUCAGAGGAAGUCCCCAGAUUAGCUUAUAGACACCCUUUAAUCCUUGGCCAAUCCCAAAUUGCACAAGCACAGGGGAGACUUCAGGGGGCUCACCAACAACAGCUGGGGGCUGAAAGAACUGUGCAGGAACUUUACCUACUGCCUACCACAGGAGAUCCAGUUUGGAGUUUGUGGCCUGUCAAAAGUUGAGAGGUUUACCAAACGACUUGGGCUUUCCAUACACCUGUUCAGCAAGGUGAAACACCAAAACUCCUCAAGUUACAGUGAUUUGACAGUAGUUUACCUGCCAGAAAAAUAACCAACACUUUAUGGAGGAAGAUAUAGAAAUCAAAAUCUCUGUAUCAUCCACAAUGUCCAGUAUUAAUAUAAAUAUGGAAAGAAAAAAUGAAGCGUAGACUCAUAAUCAAAAAAUAAAGCAGUCACCAUAAGUUGACUUGAGAUCAUUCAGAUGUUGGAAUCAGCUCACAAAAUAUUUUGAAGCAGCUGUUUUAAAUGUAUUAAGGAAUUUUGAUUGGGAGUAAAUUGAACAUAUAUAUCAAUAUUAGUGUUACAGGAUCUUUGGUUGUCAUUUUUCUGGCUGAAAAACUUUGCAGCCAGUGGUGCCUCUGCCUGAGUUUUGCUCAGGCCCCCUGGGUUCAUUUUGCCCACAGCCUCGCAGGCUGUGCUUGGCUCAUGCUACCGACCUGGGUCCUGAGCCUGCCAUGGGCAAGUCAGGCACGAAAUGGUGAGAGGUGUGCAAGUGAGCAUGGGGUCCGGCCACUGCCCACAGUCAGAUAUACUGGCUGCUGCAGUGGGGCAGGCAGCUCCAGGUGCCAGGGCAGGCAGCUCCAGGUGCCAGCACAGGCACCAGCUCUCUGCAAGGCUGUGGCCAGACCAGGUGCACCACAAGCGGCUUCCACAGCUGGCACUGGGGAACACAGUGGCAUCCAGAAGCUUGGAGAUGCCAGGAACUGCAAGGCCCCAAAGAGGGAGUCAUGGUCUUGGCACAGGGAACUCCCAGGUAUGGGCUCCCCAAAGGGCCACAGCUCUUACCUCCUUCUCUUCACCUUCAACGUGGCAAGCAGGGGGCAUGUUUCAGCCCUGUUGGUGUUACAGCUUUUUUGGCCCUGCCACUUGAUGGGUCUUGAGUUCUUGUCCUGCAACUAGGAAGAAUGAGGUAUGCAGACAAGUGGUGGGGUGAGCAGGAUGAAGAGGAGCUUUAUUGAGCAAGAGAAUAGGUAAGUCUCCUGCAGGGGGCAGCUCCUUUCCACAGCCAGGGUGUCCUAACGAGUGUUCAGCUCCUAGGAGACCCAUGAGUGGUUUGCUGUUUUCUGUAGGCAGGUAAUCCCAUCAUGUCUGCAGCUCUCAGCAGACGGGGGGUCCUGGAGUGGGUUGCUCCUCUCUGCAGGCAGGUCAUUCCAUAAUCUCUGCAGCUCUCAGCAGAGAGGAGGCCCUGAGGUGGGUAGCUCCUUUCUGCAGCAGGUCAUCCUGACAUUGCCCAGCUCUGGCUGAGCCUGGGGCUUUUAUGGGCCUAAGAGGGGAGGAAGUGCAUGCCAGUUGGUCCAUGGGUGGCCAUGAGUGGGCCCAGAAAAGGUACCACAAGUUCCCACUCCAGUCCACGGGACUGGCAGCCUGGCCCCCAGCCUUCAGGCCCUCCCUGGCCUGAAGGUGGGGCUUCUCUGGGGACUUGCCCCCUUCUGCCCAGGAGCCUGUUUGCCUCUCACUGAUGUUCAUGGUGCCCAGGCUGUUCAUGCCAAGAGGUGUCUGCAGGCCAGGGCUGAGUUGCCCUCAGUCCCCCCUUGGCUUCCCUUCCAUGCUCAUCAGUGCCCAAAGUCCAGAGGGGGUGAGGCAGCAGGGGACUGGUGUGUCAGCACUGCCUUGAGCGUGCACACACCUGGUCAGGCUGUGACAGCCCCCAGGCUCAGCCCAGCCUUUGCUCUAAGAUCAGAGCAAGCACUGACAGCAGGAAGAAGCCAGGCAGUGGAAGCAGGCACUUGCAAGCCUGUGAGGAUAGGGGAGGCCUUCAUGGGCCUCCAAAGUGCAGGAAUGCCUGGGUCCACAGCCACAGUUUGGGUGGCUGCAGCUGUGACUGGGAGGGUAGGGCUCCUGCCUGCUCCCAGGCCCCAAGAGCACAAGGAUGCCCAGGUCCACAGCCAUGGCUUGGGCAGCUGCAGCAGCACCCUGAGAGCUUCCACCCCAAGUCAGAAAGGGCAGGGAUCAUGCUUGUCCCUGGCUCCUGCUUGUCCCUGGCUCCUGCUUGUCCCUGGCUCCUGCCAGCUCCACGGAGUGUGUAGUCCUGGCUGCACCUCCCUGCUGCAGUCAGCAUGAUGGCAGUGGCCACUCCAGAUGGCCCACCACUGCCAUCAUUUCACAUCUAUAAAUAUGGCAAAUUUUUCAAUUUAUUUCCGUAUGAGCUCAUGGCUUUCAAUAGAGACACAUAGAAAUAUAUUUAUAUAUACAUACCAACAACAUACACGCAUAUGUAUGUAUACAUUCUUAAGCUCUGUCCAUUGAAAAGGCUUAGAAGCAAUGACAUAUGAGAAGCAAUGGGCAAGCUAGCACUAAACUUUGGUUUCUAAAUAUUAUUCUCUGUGAUAAGGGGCUAGUUUGAGAAAAGGCUGAUUCCAGAUCUGGGCAAGAAAAUUUCAUAAUGAGCCUAAAAUAUGGUAUUGUGACAAAAAGCAAAGAACUACUCAAAGUAUUAUGAGGAUAUUUAAAAAGGACAUAGCAACUAGCUUGAAGGAGUCCCUACUUCCCAAGUCUGGCAAUUUGAGAAUCAAAACAAAGAAUGAAAAUAAUGUAUUUUAACUCAUUCAAUUAAAUAAGAAUCCAUGAUUAUAUAUAUAUGUAUGCAUAUAUAUAUAGAUAUAGAUAUGUAUGCAUAUAUAGAUAGAUAUAGAUAUACACACACACACACACACACACACACACACACACACACACACACAGACAGAGAGGGAGAGGGAGAGAGAAAGAGAAAAAUGGAGAAUAACCUGCUACAGUGAAAACAAUGAAAGGAAGAGUUGUCUCUGCAGGGGAGACAGGCUGGGAAGAGACACGGAGGAGCUUCCUGGGCUGAUGGAAGUGUCUAUAUAUUGAAUAUAGAAUAAGAACUAAUAAAUAUAGAAGGAAUGAUGUCAGAAAAUCAUCAAUGAUGCAAAAUGUUAUAGAUGAAAACAUGAUAAUGAACAGAAUAUUUACAAAGACAUUUCUUAUUUAUCACAAAGGGAAAAUUAGUAACUUUAUAGUGGAGAAAUCUGGAAGAUAUCAGUUAACAUCAAUAUUGGGACAAGUGACAGUGUGUAUCUCCUGGUAUGAUAUACCAGUGAGGACACAACAUAACUUCCAUAAUAUUCCUGUCAAAAAUAAAUAAUGUGAAUCCAAUCAUGAUAAAACAUCACACAAACCCAAACGGAGAGAUAUUUAUAAAAUAACUGAUCUGUGCUCUUAAAAAAAAAAGGUCACUCAUCAAAGCAUUCAAAAACAUAAAUUAGGGAAAGGACACCCUAUUCAAUAAAUGAUGCUGGGAAAACUGGCUAGUCACAUGCAGAAGAAUGAAACUGGAUCCCUAUCUCUUACCCUAUUCAAAAUUUAACCUAAGAUGGAUUAAAGACUUUAAGACCUGAAAUCAUAAAAAUUCUAGAAGAAAACCUAGGAAAAACUGUCCUAGACAUUGGCCUAGGCAAAGAAUUUAUGACUAAGAUCCCAAAAGCAAAUGAACAAAAAUAAAAAUAAAUAAAUGGGAUCUAAUUAAACUAAAAAGCUUCUGCACAACAAAAGAAAUAAUCAUUAGAGUAAAGACAACUACAGAAUGAGAGAAAAUAUUUGCAAAUUAUGCAUCUGACAAAGGACUAAUAUCUAGAAUUGACAAGGAACUCAAACAGGUAAGCAAGAAAAAACUAAUCCCAUUAAAAAGUGGGCAAAGGAUAUGAACAGACAUUUCUCAAAAGAAGAUAUUCAAAUGGCCAACAAACAUGAAAAAAUGUUCAACAUCACUCAUCAUCAGGGAAAUGCACAUUAAAGCCAUAAUGAAAUACCACCUUACCCCAGCCAAAAUGGUCAUUAAUAAAAUGUCAAAAAACAGUUGAUGCUUGUGUGGAUGUGGUGGAAAAGGAAUGCUUAUACAUUGCUGGUGGGAAUGUAAAUUAGUACAACCUCUAUAGAAAACAAUAUGGAGAUUUCUCAAAUAACUAAAAGUAGAUCUACCAUUCAAUCCAGCAAUCCUGCUUCUAGGUAUCUACCCAAAGGAAAAGAAUUCAUUAUAUAAAAAGAUGCCUGCAUGUAUAUGUUUAUUGCAGAACAAUUCACAAAUGCAAAGAUAUGGAAUCAACCCAAGUGUCCAUCAACUGAUGAGUGGAUAAAAAAAAUGUGGUAUAUGUAUACUGUGGAAUACCACACAGCUAUAAAAAAGAAUGAAAUAAUGUCUUCUGCAGCAACUUGAAUGAAACAGAAGGCCAUUAUACUAAGUGAAGCAACUCAGGAAUAGAAAACCAAAUACCACAUGUUCUUGCUUAUAAGUGGAAGCUAAGCUAUAAGUGCACAAAGGCAUACAGAGUGGUAUAAUGGACAUUGGAGACUCAGAAGAAGGAAGGGUGGGAGUGGGGUGAGGGAUGAAAAACUACCUAUCGAGUGCAAUGUACAUUACUUGAGUUAUGGGUGCACUAAAAUCCUAGACUUCACCACUACACGAUUGAUCUGUGUAACCAAAAACCAUCUGUUUUCUUAAAACUAUUGAAAUUUAAAAGAAGAAAAGAAAAUGCCACCCAUGAAAGACAAAGAUUGAGGAAAUGUUCCAGCUGAGAGAAGACGCAUGCAAGUAAAUGCAAUUUGUGACCUUGGAUAAGAUCCUGGAUGUGGAAAAUAAAAAAGUUAUAAAGGACAUUAUUGAAACAAUUGAUAAAACCGCCCUGUGGACUUUGUAUUAGAAAAUGACGUUAUAUCAUUAUUAAAUUUCUUGGUUUUAAUAAAUGUUCUCUAGCAAAGUAUUGUUCUUCAGAGUUACCAAAAUUUAACCAAUUUACUAAUGGUUUCAAAGAAUAGUAUGUAGAUAUAGAUAUGGGUAUAUAUUAGAUAGAUAGAUAAUAGAUAGGAAGUUAGAUAUAAUGAAAAAGCAAUAGAGUAAAAUGUAAACUAUUGAUGAAUCCGAGUAAAGGGUGUACAUGAAUGUUUUGCACUAUUUUUUGCAACUUUUCUGUAACUUUCAAAUUUAUCGAAUUUAAAAGUUAUAAAAUUUGGCACAAAGACUGUGGGCAACUGGAGUUUUAAAAUACAUUUAAACAUAUACCUCCUCUAUGGCCCAGGGUUUCCACCCUUAGAUAUUUUCCUAAGAGAAAUGAAAACAUGCUCAUCGUUUUGAACGUAUUUUCAAAUAAUGACAACAGGCAUCCUAAAGAGUUAUCCAGAAAUAUUUACUGCAGCUAUAUUUAUAAUAAUAAAAAAUUUGUAAACAACCCAAAUGUUCACCAACAGAAGAAUGAAUUAAAAAAUUUGAUAUAGUUAUACAAUAGAACACUACUUGGCAAUAAAAAGGAAUGAACUAAUAUGUGAGACAAUCUGGUCGAAUCUCAGAAACAGUAUAUUUAAAAAGUAAGCCAAAACCAAAAACGACAUACCAUAUGAUUCCAUUUAUAUGAAAUAGUAAAACAGGCAAAAUUAAUCUGUAGUGGUAGACAUUAGAACAGUGGUUGCCUAUUUGUGGAAGAACUUUCUGGCAUGAUGGAAAUGUUCUAUUUUUUUUCAUUGUGGUGGUCACAUGAAUAUAUGUAACUCAUAGAAUUAUAUAAUUAAUAUCUGUGCAUUUUGAUAGGUGUAAAUGAUACCUCAGUUUUAGAAAGUAAUCUGGAAGUGUAGCAUUUUCCAUAUUUGGGAAAUAUUGCAGAUAAUGACAACAGGCAUCCUAAAUUCAUUAUACAUUCUUAAGAUAUUACCAGACAAGUCUAGCCUCUGAAUUUUUUACUUACAUCGAGAUUUCAAAGAGUUUCUAAUUCCCAAGAUUGAAGAUGAUCCCCUGAGCACUAAUAGGAAAGAAAAAGGAAAAAUUGUAGUAAUUUGACAUUAUUCCUGGAAAAUAAACAAAAAAUCCAUUGAAAACUUGUUAACAACAGUGACAAUUAAGGAAGCCAGUUACAAAAUGAUAUUUUAAGAAAGUAAUAGAUUUUUCUAUAAAAUAGAAGCUAUCAAGAUAUGAGGGAAAAAAAUACAUAUGCCAAAAUAUAAAAUAUUUAGCAAUAAAUUUAAAGGAAAUAUAUAGAAUGUAUUUGAAAAAAACUAUUGAACUCUACUAACAGGCAUAAAAGAAUAGAGAAACAGACAAUGUUCCUAGAUAAAAAGAAUCACUAUGGUAAAAAUGCCAAUUCUCCCUAAAUUAACAUAGAAAGUACCUUCCUAAUCAAGAUCUCAAUAUGAUUGUUCUUUGACCUUCACACGAUUAUUAUCUGUAUCCCUAAAGGUACAAUGAACCUGUUACCAGACUAUUAUAGACCAAGAGCAAAAUAGAAAUUCCAGAAACAGUUCUAACUAGAUAUUUGGAUUCAGAAUAUAAUUUUGCUCUUUCAAAAAGUGCAAAGCGGAUAAAGGAUAGGGCUUUCCAGUAUAUAUUGUUGGAACAACUGGCUAUUUAAGAAGAAAAUAAUAAAUUGAGAUUCCUACAGUCUACCCUGCCAUAAAAUAAAUUCCAGAAUGGCUGAAAGUAAAAGGUAAAGCUAUAAAAGCAUCAAAAGAAUAGUUGAAUAUUUAUACAAUUUUAGACUAUAGCAAAAACCAUAUCAAAAACAGAAAUAAUGUUUUCUGACAUAACUGAACAUUGAUAGAUUUGAAUAUAUAAAAAUUAUAUUUCCAUAGGUUUAAAAAUACAAUUAAGUGCAAAAAACAAACAAACUGGAAACAAUUCACGACAUCUAUACUAGACAAAAUACAUUAAUGUCUUUAAUAUAUAAAAAUAUUUUCCAAACCAAAGAGAUUCACGCAUCUCAAACCUGGUUUCUCAACCUGGACACUAUUGACACUUUGGGCCAGAUAAUUCUUUGGUUUGUGGGGCUAUCCUGUGCAUUUUAGCAGCAUCCUUGGCUUCUAUCUGCUAGCUGCCAGGAGCAUCCCUUCAUCGUGACGAGCAAAAAUAUCUCCAGACAUUGCCAAAUGUCCCCCAAGAAGACAAAAUCACUCCUAGUUGAGAACCAGUGGUCUAGAAAGAAACAUUCAUAUUUUUUCUCUGCAAGGUGGGACUGGCAGGAUGGGGGCCUGGGGGAGGUAGAUUUAAAAAAUGGAUAUCUCAGUCUGUCUUCUAAGUUUAUAUAAGCCUUACAAUUCUGCGGGUGUUAAUGUAGUUCCAUUAAUUGUAAUAACUAAUAUUUAAUUGGUUCUUGCCCCCUCUCAUUCAGACAAGACCUCCACCCUCUGCAAAACAUCUUCCCAGGAUUAUGGGAAGUGCCCAAGAUGUGGUCACGGGUGUACCACAGCCAGUUGGCUUCUGUGGUACUCUGCCGCUGCGCCUGCCUCCACUUCUGUGGUUCAUCCCCAACUCCCAUGGAAGUUGGAGCACUUUCACGGAACCCUGCGGUUCUUUCCAACAUGCAGCAGCCACCAGCCACAGUCACCUGCAACCACAAAUCAGCAAAGCCCCACAGCCCCGAAUCUCCACUGAGGUUUGUAAUGAAGUGGGACUUCAAGUUUAAGUCUUUCUCCGAGGCUAUUACGGCCUGCCAGUAGGGGCUCUCCAUGUGCACUGCUCAAACCAUUAUGCUCUAUAACUGUUUUCAGUGUAAGGCUCUUUACGCUUUGUUAGUAAUCUCUUGCUCUCCGGAGCCCAGAGAGUGACAGAUUCGUAACAGACCCCUGUUCACUCCUCGUUGCCUCUCCCCUGUGCUGAGAGGGCUUCUCAUUGGCUCAGGUGCAUCCCCUGUGCUGCUUCUCCCCUCAGGAUGCCCUCUUCAUCUAGAGGUUUCUCCAGGGAACCUGCCUGGCUCACUCACCUAACAAGCUAAGAAAUGUCUGAACCGUCUUUAAAUUCAAGCCAGGAGCCUAGAAGUAGUCCUAGGGAAAACGAAACAAAACAAAACAAAACAAAACAAAACCAACAAACAAACAAACACGACUGGAAAGAAAUACAUGGAGAAGUUAACAGGAGGGCUCCUUGGAGAGAUGGUUAAUUCUGGGGCUGGCCUGGGAAGGAUGAGAUGAGGCUGAAGCACCUUGCUGUGCCGGAACAUCAGGACGUGCUCAAAAAGUGAUGAGGCCAGGGCCUGAUGGAAGAGGCUCCCAGCAACCAAACCUGCCAAGGUUUGAGCACCAAAAAAACAGCAACAGUGAUUCUAUAACCCAUGAGAAUAAAAGAAUCAGUCCAUGAUGACAUAGAUGGCCUGGGAAGCCCUCUGCACGCCUUUCUCAACUAAGGAAUUUGUGGAAGUAGAAUUUCUUCUGUUGACAGAAUUCUGCUGAGAACUGAAUUUUCUGCUGUUUUCAUUACUCUUUUCUAAAUGUUUCACAGUUCUGUUUUUUUUACAGCCAGAUUUCCAUUUGAUACUGGUUGUGGUUACACUAAAAGUAACAUCUAUGGCCAAAUGGCUGGAAAUUUUACAUUUUUGACACCGAGAUUUUUCCUGUACUUCACGGAGGGCAAGGGUUAUACCCUAUUUUUUCCCAGUCUCCCACAGUGCCCAACCCAGACGACCGUACAUAAUAAGCGCUUUAUUCUCAGCACUGCUGUAUGCCUCAUUGGAACAGGAUGCCCAAGGUGAUGGCUGCAGAAAUGGAUGGAUUGGAGCGUGACUUGCCAAGACAGGGCUGCUGUAACAAACUACUACAAACUUUGCCGCUUAAAAACAGAAAUGGCUUCCCUCACAGUUUCUGGAAGUCCAAGGUCCGGCAGGAUUGUGCUCCCCCUAGGAACCCUAAGGGAAGAUGCGUUCCUGGCCACCUCCAGCUCUGGUGGCUGCCUGGCUGCUUUCCUGUGCCUGAUAUCACAUCACCCCAUUAUCUGCCUCCGUUUUCACAUCGCUUUCUCCUCUUGUGUCUCUCCAAUCUCCUUCUGCCUCCCUCUUCUAAGAACACUUAUCAUCGGAUUUAUGACCCACUCAGAUAAUACAGGAUUAAUUCUUCCUCUCAAAACCCUUAAUUGCAUCCAUUGCCAAAUAAGGUAACAUUUACUCUUUUACCGAUAAGGUAAUACUCACAGGUUCUGAGAAUUAGGGCAUGGACAUAUCUUUUUGGGGCCCACCAUUCAGCGCACUACAUUUACACGAGAAAAUGAUAAUAUUCAAAAUAGCGUGAAAGUACCAAAACGAAGGUAGGCACUGUAGGAGACGAAAAUAGAGAUGAGGUAUGAGGGAGAUUCAGGGACCAGUCCGCAUGUUAUAAAUUUUCAAUCUCGCAAGCAUUCACAUUUUUUAAAUAUUGAAUUUUUGCCUUUGUUUUCUGCAAUCACCAAAGAUUUCAGGUUUUAUUAAAUAUCCAAAGUUGGUGGUGGCAUGGGAAAAGAACACUAUUUUACUGCUGGUAGAAGUACACAUGGAACUUUAAUAAAGCCAUCCUCAAAGACAUUUUGGAACCAUUAAUCAAAAGCUCUAAAAAGCACAUAUCUUUUGAUCCAGCCAUUUACCCUAAUAAUCAGAGAUAUUUGUAGACGUGUAUAGACAAAGGUAAUGAUAACUUGAUUAUUUUAAAAGUAAAACUGGGCGGAAAACAUGAAUGUCUAACAAUGGAGAACUGCUUGUCUAAACAAUGGAAUAGCCACAUAAUGAUAGAGUGAAGAACAGUUAGUGACAGAGGAGAAAUUUAUAACAUAUUUCUAUAUAAAACAAGAGUAGGCUUCAAAACAAUGUACAGGAUGACCUAAUUGGUAUGGGCUAUAUACUUGUGUAGUUAGGUAUUGUGCAUGUGUGUGUAAUAUAUACACAUAAUACACACAUGGAACCAAAAAAGGAGAAACAUUAAAAUAUUAGUGAUACAUUUUAUUAACAAAAUUAGCACAUUUACUAAUUUAUUGUAUUCAUUCAUUGUAUUUUUAAAAACAAAAUUUGUGGCCUAUGUAAUGAUAAAAGUUGAUAAGAAUACGACUUCGAAUUAACAACUCAAUAAAUAGUCUUCGCAGAAAAUAAAAUUUAAAUCGCCCAAAACCAGACAUCAGAUAAGAACAAAGGGUUCUUAAUCUCAGUUCUAUUCUAUUCCAUUUGCUUUGAAUCAAUUUGGUCCUUAAAGGUCUUUGUGAAGCAAUUUUGAAAAAUUCACAAGAGGGCAGAGACAAACAUUUACAUUAAAGUUUAAGCAGAGAUAUGGGAUAAAACACGUAUGGAUGCUGAGAAAUAUCACUUUGUAAAACUAUCAUUUCAACCUUAAGGACAUAUCAGAAAAAAAAGUGAGCAGUUUUAUUAGUUGAGGUAAUGCAAUUAUUUUGCAAAACUUUAUUUUUUAUUGAUUUUCUAUGAGGCAUUUUUAUGUCUGCAAAGGAAGUUCAAGUCCCACUUUUCACUUGUACUUUUGCUACCUGUUUAUGCAGAAUUGGCCACUGGGCUUCCUAACCUCUCUGUUCAUUUCAGAGCAAAGUGUCUCCUUGUUCCCCAUUGCAAUUCUUUUCCACUCAGUUUUUUUAAGUUGAAAACAGAAAAUUAUAAACACCUGUGCUGAAUAAAAUCUCCUGGCUCUGCAAAAUAAAAAAUUAUUCUUAUUAUUCCAAUCAAGAAAGUUUUAUUUUUGCCUGAUCUAUUUCCCUUGCUCAGUUCGGUCAUAUCAAAGCUGAGAGCCUGUGUUCAAGGACCUUAACAGAGACUUGGCUCUAUUAUAACGGCCUGUAGUCGGUUUCUAAAAGGUUAAGAACCUCCUUGCUGGGCUGGGCGCCAUGGCUCACGCCUGUAAUCCCAGCACUUUGGGAGGUCGAGGUGGGCGGAUCACAAGGUCAGGAGAUUGAGACCAUCCUGGCUAACACGUUGAAACCCUGUCUCUAUUAAAAAUACAAAAAAUCAGCCAGGUGUGGUGGCGGGCGCCUGUAGUCCCAGCUACUCGGGAGGCUGAGGCAGGAGAAUGGCGUGAACCCAGGAGACAGAGCUUGCAGUGAGCCGGGAUCAUGCCACUGCACUCCAGCCUGGGUGACAGUGCGAGACUCCAUCUCAAAAAAAAAAAAAAGAACCUCCUUGCCUAUCAGACAUUCAGUGGAGCCAACAGGUUUCUUCCAAAACAGUUCUGAAAAUAUUCACAUAAAAGGAUAGUUUGUGUAUAUUCUUGUACUUUACUUUACUUGGACAAUAUCUCUUUAAACAUAAUUUCACGCUAGGACUAGUUAAUAUUUAUGCCUUGCUGUUUUCGUUGAGUUGUAUUUUUAUGUAGAAAAAUAACAGUGGGUGGGAAAACUCGCUGUGCUGAAUAUGCCCACCCCAAAGCCACAGCUGAGUUAUGGCAGGCUCUCUCAACUUUCUGCCAGACUCUUUUUCCAAAGACAGAUGUGUGCCCCCCUAUUAGCUUACUCUCCAAUCUCCACACCUUGUCUAUGCUUCUGUCCCAUACCUUCUUCAUAUGAAACUUUAAAUCAAAGAUAAUCAUAUGAAACAGGUCUGAGAUCACAUUGCAACUUGCAUUGUUUCUUGGAAACAAAUACAAAGGAUGAAUUGUUUCAAUGAUGUUACUUUCACAUAGAAAAUGGUGAAAGUAAGGCUGCUUAUAGUUCUGCAAAGUUCAAAAAUUACUUUUACAGAGCCCUGACAAUUUGGAAGACUGUAUUUAUACACACACACAUACUCUCAAAAGAUCAUUUAAACGGAUUGAUUCAUUGCCCAUUAGUGUUUAAUUCAUCUUAGCUCCUCUCCCCUCCCCAGACUUUGUGGGGUGGGGCUGAAAGUUCCAGAUUUCUAAUUUGGAUCAAGCUAAAGGCUUGAUCUUUCUGGCAACCAACUUCCAUCCUAACGCUAUCUAAAAGCCCACUAAGACCCACCUAAUUAGAAGAAAAGACAAAUUCCAAGGGUUUUAGUAGCUCUCUGCCAGGAACUAAGAACCAAGACUAUCCUUCUUCUUAUGUCACAGCCUAUAAUAAUAAUAAUAAUAAUAACAAUAAUAAUAACUACAUAAUAAAAAGAAAUAAAUAAUAUUCCAAUAGAGGAGCUUGAACUACUACUUUGGAUACAUACAGUGCACCUUGAAUUAUAAGUAAGGUUCAAGAAGACUGUAGGGACAACUCAGUAAAGAAAAGAGCAUACUACUGAGAACCAUUUUAGGUUUUGUUCCUUACAAUUCACAACCUUGGGUAAUUCAUUAAUGUUCUCUGGACCUCUGUCUUCUCCUCUGCAAGUGGAAUUAAACUAUCAUCUGAAAAGUCUCUUUAUUUUAAUUUCAUGCUCAGGAACCCACUGGUAUUUUCAUGACUGAGAUCAUCACAACAACUUGGGAGUUGACAGACAAUGAGAAAGGGAGGCAAUACAAAAUAUGUUUUGGAAACCACUGGAUUCAAGAAAUGACUUUAUUCUGGGACAUCUCAUAUGCAAAAGCAUAGAGAACUCUGUAGGUGAGCUAAAUAUGUUUAAUACAAUUCUUGGAAUUUGGUUUUGAGAGCCUUCCUGCCAGUAACAGCCAUGGUGAAGGAGAAAUAAAAUAAACACAGUGAUUACAAAACA